rnacentral:lncRNA from 1 species
GACUCCAAAAAGCAGCAGUGCUGAAGCAAAGAGAAAUGGACUAGUAGAAGCUGCAGAGAAGUUCCAAAUUCAAGUCACGUUACUCAGAAAGCAACUGGGAGUCAGGGAGUCUUGAUGAUUAGUGAUAAGAAAACCAAAAGGAAGAUUUCAAAAGACAUUUCUAACACGUGAAGAACCCAGGUCAGCUGGUCCUGGCUUAGUUUUCUGAUCCCAUCUCUCCAGCUACACUCACUACACUCAGUUAAACCAGCCCGACUGCUCCUUGAACAAACCAGGGCCUUUGCAUGUGCUGUCCCCUCCUCUCCCCCAGACAGCCAUGCGGCUUCAUUCACCCCCUCACUCUAUUCACAUUUCUGCUCCAAAUCAGUUCUUUUGUUUUACAAGGGGUGGUCCUUGUCUGGCUUGUGCGCUGCUUUCACGCCCUUGCCCCCCAAGUGCUGACUGCCAAUGGCUACUCAAUGACUGUGUCAAAAAAUGAAUUUGUAGUGGGUGUUCCCACUGUGGCUCAGGAGAACCCAACUAUAUCCAUGAGGAUGCAGGUUUGAUCCUGACCUCAAUCGGUGAGUUAAGAAUCCAGCGUUGCCAUGAGCUGUGGAGUAGGUCACAGAUGUGGUUCAGAGCUGACACUGCUGUGGCUGUGGCAUAGGGCAGCUACAGCUCCGAUUCGACUUUCGACCCCUAGCCUGGGAACUUCCAUAUGCCACAGGUGCUGAAAAAAAAAAAAAAUGAAUUCAUAGAGAGUGGAUCAAAGGGGACCAGGUGGAAUUCAGGGUGUCCCUUCAGGAGGUGAUUCGUGGUAAUUAAGUCAAAACAGAUUUGAUAAAGAAAAAACACCUCAUAGGACAAAGUUCAGUCAUAUUUUACUCCACACCAAGUACUGGGCCAGGGUCUAGACAUAAAACCAUCAACAGCAAGUACGAUUUCCAUCACAACAGAGUCUGCAAUCUAGGAGUUUAUAAUAUGACAUCAUUAGACAGGACACAGGAUAUGGAAUCAUAUGACAGGAAAUUAGUUUCCAUACGUUGAGUGCUUACUGGGCUUUCUGUCACACGGCCUCACGCCUUUCGCGUGGUGCAUGUAUCAACUUUAUCUCCAUUUUAUAGAACAGGAAACAGAGGCACAGGUGUGAAUCUCCGGAGUGGUGGACAGAGGAUUUGGAACGAGGCGUCUGUGGCUCCAGAAUCCGUGCUCUUUCCUGAGACUUCUUCUCACCUUCCCCAGCAGCCUCAGGAAGGGGCUGCAUCCGGCCCCGUGUUGGUCCCCUCUGGUACAACUUCAGGCAAACAGGUCCCCACCGAUGUGACAGGCAUACAAGCUGACAGCGGAGUUCUACAAUCGUAGGUCUCCCUGGUGUCACCAUAAGCCCUUUUCAGGUCAGUUUCAAUCCUGAAAAAAUAACCCGAGUCUCCAUUUUCUCUUCCCAAUAAGAACUAGAGUAGCUAGCGUUCAUCAGGCACUUACCAGCUCAGCAUCAGGCUGAGGACUGCACCUGGAUUAUCUGAUUUAAUCUUCCCAACAAUCCCCAACCCCAAAGUGGAAGAACUAUUCCAACGACUGUCAAUUUUCUUCAUAUUCAAGGGACUUGACUUCCGUUUAAACUGGCUUACUAGAAAAAAAAGAAAGGCUUCCAAAAUGACGUCCAAAGAGAUGAAAACGACUGGCUAACAAAACUGAAAGGUCCCUCAUGCGGCUGGCCUCGGGCAGGGAUGGAUGGGGACGCUCCAGCAAGAGCAUGAGACUCUGUCCAUCUCGCAGCUCCGUCUCCUCAACACUAGCUCCCCCACCGUCCCCGUCCCCCACCCCGCCCCGCCGCCACGUUCUGUCCACCUGGUGCCUCCCAGCAGUGCUUGGGUUGUAUAUGGUCCACCCACUUCAGGUUCUGUAGAAAGAUCAGAUCUCUCUUCUUCCCAACACUGGGAUAAAAGUUCUAGAACUGCAUCCCACUGGACCAGACAAGGCUCCUGCACACACAUCCCUGAACCAGUCCCUGCAGAUGGGGGGAAAUGGGACACCUGCUCGUUCAGGACUGAGCACACAUGAUGUAAACACAUCACGCUGCCCAGGGAGAAGUCGAUGAUCUAAUCCACGAGGUUCCUGGUUCCCUGGGAUGGGGGCCGGGUCGGUCCCAGCCGAACCCCAGGAGUGGAGAGGAGAGCAGUUCCAAGAGAAAACGGGUUUGUCAUGAGCUAAAGGGGACAGGGAGCUCAGGGCAGGUAAAGCUAGAGCUAUUCAUACUACAUUCUGUCCCCAGCUCACAAGUGAGGACCCUGGGACUUUUCUUAAAUUGAAAAAUCAUAGCCAUUAUUUUAAAAAUAUGAAAAUCCAGGUUUCAGGCUUCUCUCAAAAACAAAAACAAAAAACCAGAAUCCCAAGAAAUGCUGAGCCCACAUUCCCACGUGGCAACGACUGGCUUGAAUUGAGGGCUCAUCCCCUUGAGAGGGGACCUGUCACCAGCUGUCCUGUCGUGGCCCCUGGAAGCUUUGGAAUCUGCAGCCCCUUCUUUAAUGCUUCCGUGCACAGUCUGUGCUUGGGACAGAAAAGUUCUAGCUAUUUUAGCCUAACUUUGCAGGGUUGGGUGGGGGGGGUGAGGGUGGCCGCCCACUGCACCUCCCACCAAAAAGAGCAGCUUCCUUGUAGGACUCAGCUGCUUUCCAGACUUUUUGUCUGCUUUGGGGGUACAGUGGCAGCCACCCGCCUGUAUCCCAGAUCCAGAUGCCCUGUGAUUUUGUACAGGACGAGGUCCUGCCAUUCUUGGUUCAUCCCUGAUGUCAUCUAAUAUUCUGUGGACCCUCUGGCCACCAUCACACAAUGGCCCAAGGGUUUUGAGAAGGUCCAGUGCACACACAACUGCUGGAUAAAAGCACUGCUCUUUGUCUUCCUCUUGAUCUUUCCAAUGUCAACAGACGUUGCCCAAAGUAACCCCCAGGGGCCUGGCUGUCUUGCUUUAUCUUGAUAUCUUUAUGAUGCCAGGCCUCCCCAACACACACACUUGCCUUUUCAUUGUAAUCCACCAAAAUGGCUCUUAACUGCUACCUGCAAACAUACAGAUGCUUGAGAUGAAGCAGCUCUAGUUAAAAUGCUUAUAAAUUAUAAGCGAGGUUAAGCCAGGGCCUGCAGGUGAGUGACAGAUAUGGAUACAAGUUAGGUGUUUGGGAUGCUUCUAGGUCUUAGUGUCAUUUAUAAAGUGUUCUCCAAACUUGCGGGGUAAGAAGGGUCAUCUGGAGUGCUUGUUAAAAAUACAUAUUCUCAGAGCCCUCCUCUGGAGUCUCAGAAAAUAGGAUGGAGCCAGGGGCGGGGGGGACGGGGCAGGGGGGGGGGAUGGACCCUGCUUUUCAAAACGUGCCCCAAGUGAUUACGAUCACCAGGUGAGGCUGGGAAGCAUACACCAGCGCAGCGGAUCUCAGAGCUGGCUGAGCCUCGGAAUCACAUGAGGAAGCCAUCUUUGGGGCUGUGCAUCUCAAGGAAUCACCUGAGGCUCUUGUAAAAAUGAAGAUUCUGACUCAGCAGGCCUGGGUGGGGGCCCAGUGAUGGUUCUGUUGAGACCCCUAGAGGACCAGCUACAUGAUGUCUGAGGCCCAGUGCAAAACGAAAAGGUGGGGCUCCCACACAAAAAAGGAAACCAUCUCUUGCUUUCUUGCACAGUCCUUCUUUCCAUCGAUCAUGGUGUUUUCUUAUUUGUGGGCUUUUUUUUUUCUUUUUAGGGCUGUGCCUGCAGCAUAUGCAAGUUCCCAGGCUAGGGGUCAAAUCAGAGCUACAGCUGCAGGCCUUCACCACAGCCUCCGCAAUGUGGGAUCCAAGCCACCUCUGCAACCUACACCACAGCUCAUGGCAACACCAGAUCCCACUGAAAGAGACCAGGGAUCGAACCUGCAUCCUCAUGGUUCCUAGUCAGUUUCUUAAGCCGCUGAGCCUCAAUGGGAAUUCCCAUCUAAUUUGUGUUUUAAUGUUGUGCUCCCUUGAGAUGGGGAUGCUGGUGGGGUGAGUCCCCCAGGUCGAGGCCCCUACCAUCAUUGGGCAGUGCCUGGAAGUGGGCUGCCAGAACCCACCCAGGAAGGCAAACAGAUAGCAGAAGGCAGGAACUAGUGGGAGCCAAAGCUCCAAGUCCCUGACAUAACUGAAGUAAGUUAUGAAGUAAGUCCUGUCGGACUUACAAAGCACAAAUUUAAAGAUAAGAUUAAGGAUUUGAAGAUGGUGACCAAAAGCAUUAAACCUCAAGCGUGAUUUCCCCUUCUGAGUGCAGAAUCUUCUGGCUCUUCACUGGUUAUAUGACCAGGAAGCAACCCCAAACCACUGGCAUCCAUAAAGACCAAGCAUUCUCUUUUUUGGUUAAUGAUCAACAAAUAUUAUUUUUAUAAGGUUGUCUUUAUAGGUACAUGACAGAAAUUGAAAGGCUGGAAUGACUUUCUUAUAAAGAAUACCAUUAUUUGCACUGAGACUAAAGGAGGCAGCAUAGAAUAGUGGCUAAAUGUACUGACCCAAGGCAGACGGGCUGAGGUGAAGACCUGUUUCUAUCACUUAUUAGCAGCAUGACCUCGGCCAAAGUACUUAAUUCCCUUGUUCCUCAACUUCCUCACUGGUAAAGAUGUGUGAUGAAGCUGAAAGAUAUACCACCCUCUGGCCCUUUACAGGAAAAGUCUGCUGGGAGAAUGGACAGAGUGGUUUUCAAGAUGUGGUCUUUGGGAGCUCAGGGUUCACAUAGGUGAUUUAACCUUUGAUUUGUUUAAACUGCAUCUAAGUCCUCUUAAAGUUGUGAAGAAUGCACAUG